GAUUGUCUCUUCAUAGUAUUUUCAUGGGAAAAGGCAUUCAAUAGACUUUCAUCCAUUGACGAAGUACUGCUCCCAUGACACCUUGCCAUUGACCAGGCUAAAUGCAUCUGAUGUGAACUACAGUAGCAAAGAUUCACCAGACCAGCUUUUAACCUACAUAUGUCCCUUCCCAACCUGCAGAUUUAAGAUGGAGCAGAGUUUAUUCCUAAUUUGUACAGUAUCUCAGGAACAGCUGCUGCCCUGGAAAAAGCCAAUCCAUCACUGAAGACUCCCAAGUGAAUCAACUGCCUUGGAAAGAGACAAAA
rnacentral:lncRNA from 11 species